rnacentral:lncRNA from 1 species
UCAACUUCAAUAUUCUCUACAAUUCCAUCCUCUCUCUAGAUGGUUGUCCUCUAAUGCAAGGUUGAUGGCACAGCUCCAAUACCAUGUAUCCAUUCGCGUCCUAAAAACAAUUUAUAGUUUGCAUUUGAUUUGAUAAGCAUAAACAAACUCGCCUGGAUGUCGACCCUACGGACAAAUCGACUUGGAUCACACCUAGUAUAUUGCUGGUCUUACCCUCAUAGUUGGAUAACACCAUGAUGUGGGGCCUGAGGUCGUCA